rnacentral:rRNA from 1 species
GACGUAGGGCGCGAGCGUUGUCCGGAUUUAUUGGGCGUAAAGAGCUCGUAGGCGGCUUGUCACGUCGGGUGUGAAAGCCCGGGGCUUAACCCCGGGUCUGCAUUCGAUACGGGCUAGCUAGAGUGUGGUAGGGGAGAUCGGAAUUCCUGGUGUAGCGGUGAAAUGCGCAGAUAUCAGGAGGAACACCGGUGGCGAAGGCGGCCUGCUGGGCAGUUGCUGACACUGAGGCGCGACAGCGUGGGGAGCAAACAGG